rnacentral:lncRNA from 1 species
AUGGUGCUGCCGACCCUAGAGGUGCCGGCCCCACGAUGGAGAGCACGUAGUGCCCCCCGGGAGUCAGGAGGCCGGGCCUGACCUCGGGGGCUGCAGCCAGGGGAGGCCGGCACCCCAGAUAACCCCCAAAGAACUGCAGGCCCUGAGGCGAGGCCAGAGUGGGGGCGGGGGCAGGUCCCAGCCGAGGAGGUGCUCCGUGCUGCCUCAGCAGAACCCAUGAUGGGCUGGCCCAAGGCUCUGAAGGUGGAAAGGCCUCACACAUUCUGCCCCGGCUGACGCCUUCCUUGGGCCAGUGCUCGGGGGUGUGUAACAAACGCCAAGACGCAUUGUAAAGAAGGAAGCCUGCGUUUCCAUCACCGGCUUAAUAUCAAACAAAAGUGCAAUUUUGAAAAUGUAGUCCAAGGUUUUCUGUGGUGCGGAAAUGGCCAGGCCAGACCUCCGUGGGUGGUCCUUCGUGUCCACGUCAGCGCCCUACAUCCACACUGUGGGCACCAUGACCUCACAUGCGGAGCGGAGCAGGGCCGGCGCCCGGAGAGCCAGGCUGGUCACGAACGAGGCCUAGAGGGCGUCAGGCCCCAAAGCACUCACAGGCUUCUCCUCUGUCCUCGGGGCCUUCAGACACCUGCAUGCGCCGAUUCAGCCACCCGCGCGCGCCGAUUCCCCUGGCCAUGGGGUUUCCAAAGUGUGUGCUCAGAGGACAGUUUCCUCCAGGAUGACCUGAGGCGUUUGCUGAGAGGCACAGGCUGAGCCCCCGUGCUGAUGCCACGACCGAGGGAACGGGUCUCCCUGUCGGCGUGAACUGACCCGGCCAGGCGUCCACUGCCACUCGGACUGUCUCCCAGGCACGUGGCGCCCACACGGGCAGAACACGCCCUCCACACACGCGGCUUCGGGCAGAACACGAGGCGCCCUCCACACACGCGGCUUCGGGGCUUGUCAUGAAAAAAGCUGAAUGCUGGGGGUGCAGCUUUCACCAACAGAAUCCCGUUUGGAAGGGACGCGAGUGACGCUCCGUGUUUCGUUCAGCCUGCAGGCCUGCAGAAGCUGCAUCUCGGGAUGGCCAAGAGCCCGGCCAGGCCCCACGGCUGCACCCAGGACGGGAUUCAUGCCCCAUGCCUGGCUUCUCACGACCACAGAGUGCCUUUCCCGGGACUGGAUGGAGGCAGAGUGAGAGAAGAGCCUGGAGCAAGUGUUUUGGACCACAGUGAUCAAACACGGAGCCCGUGGGAGGACGUGGGAGGACGUGCGGGGCUUUGCCGGGCGAGCCCGAUGCUGCUCACGGCACCUGGAGUGUUCGGGCCGCUAUUUGGGCGGUGUUCUGAGCAGCCGUCAGACCUUGAGUUUUGCUGUCAAAAGCUCUUCUCUCCUGCCCCGAAAUAUACCCAGUCCAUGCCCCAAGAGGAAAGGCCUUUGUGCCAGGUGGGCACCCGGCUGCCUCUUGGCAAAGACUUGUUGGAAAAAUGAGUGAGUGACGAGGCUGCUGGUCAGCGUGUGGCCUGUGGCGUCACUGGGGCCUCUGGCGGCUGCUGGAACCAGAAGAGGAGCCUGCGCUGCAACCCAGGCCGCACCACAUCAGGGUCUCACUGGGAGCCGGAGAGCUUGUUCCCAGGCAACCCUGAAACAGAGAAGUGUCCUUGGAGGCUUCACCCACGCAGACCCACGGCUUCCUGGUAGAAGCCGUCUGCACCCCCGCACUGACCUGGCUCUGUGAGGAGAGCGGGGAGGGGCUCCAGGGAAACAUCCUGGCGUUGGCGUAGCCAGCCUGUGAGUCACGGGGAAGCCGGCUGCCCGGAUGCCCCCCAAGGACCCGGUGAGUCCACACACAGUACAGCAGGGCCUGGGCCCGCACCACCGCCUUUUCCUGCAGGCCCCUCAUGUCCACUGACUGCACCUCCAGGGACUCUGCCCGGCAACCCAGGCGCCCCCGACACACCCCACCACACAGCUCCUUCUGCCUCACCCACACCCCGCCAGACCCUGAGCGCUCACGAAGUCUCCUUGUCAAGAACUUUGAGAGCCAGUUGCUAAACACAGAUGUUAUUUAUUUAUUUGAGACAGAGUCUUGCUCUGUCACCCAGGCUGGAGUGCAGUGGCACGAUCUCA